UACGUAGGGUGCAAGCGUUGUCCGGAAUUAUUGGGCGUAAAGAGCUCGUAGGCGGUUUGUCGCGUCUGCUGUGAAAAUCCAGGGCUUAACCCUGGACCUGCAGUGGGUACGGGCAGACUAGAGUGUGGUAGGGGAGACUGGAAUUCCUGGUGUAGCGGUGAAAUGCGCAGAUAUCAGGAGGAACACCGGUGGCGAAGGCGGGUCUCUGGGCCGAUACUGACGCUGAGGAGCGAAAGCGUGGGGAGCGAACAGG
rnacentral:rRNA from 1 species